GCCGGGCUGGCGGAACUGGUAGACGCACGGGACUUAAAAUCCUGGGGGCUUUGGCUCGUGCGGGUUCGAUUCCCGCGUCCGGCA
rnacentral:tRNA from 1 species